rnacentral:lncRNA from 1 species
GAUUUUCUUAAUUUUUUCCAUUAAAUAAUAUUUUCUUUGAUAAUCUCAAUAAAAACAACUUUUUAUUCUAAAAUUAGUCUAUCAAACUUCAUAACAUCAAACAUUUUUUUACUUAGAUCAACCGUAUGUAUUUGAAUAUAGAUAAAUAUAGUAUGCAUACAUAUAAAUUCUUUUAUGUUAUUUUAAUUUUCAAUUAAAGUAUGACUUGGCAAGUCGUAUGCUUAUGCUAAUCUUCUAUUUAAAUUUAUGUAUUUUCCUUCGCCACUCUUCUAACUGACAAAAAGAAUAUUGCUUACAGCAUUUACCCAAGCUCAGUCACCGGAUAUUCUACCUAGCGAAACGUCAAAGCAUGGCCAAUCAAGCUGCCAACUUUGAACUUGGUCUACGGCCAUUGGCAAGCAUGGAAUCCGCGGUCAAAAAGCACAGCCAUACAGUGGAAACAAAACAAUGAUAUACAAAAAUAUAAACAAUAAAAGUAUAAAAUAUAAAACCCACUUCAUAGUGAGGAUACGAAGUGCAAAAUCAAGCGUUCCUGGAUCAUCGGAGAGGGGCACAGAAAACAACCCACACGUCAUCUACACCUCGUCAGAUGGAAUACACAAAAGAAGGAGAAGGAAAUGCUUGGAAACAACGAGACACAACAGAAAAGCAUUGUCAAAGGAUUUAAAAAAGAAUAAAAAGGGAUGAGUGAAAGUGGGAAAGGAAAAGGGACUGGGGUCAAACGCCCCACCUUGCAGACUUCGGAGACAAGGCAGCACCAGUCCUUGUUGUUGCACCACAGUGUGCCCCAUUCAGCCAUCUCUGCUGCAAUACAUCCUCGCGUGCUAGAGCGGAGCAGCGAGUUGAUCUCAAAUCAAACAACACUU